rnacentral:lncRNA from 1 species
AGACAGUCGCGCGGGGACCAUCGAGAACAAGGAGUGCUGUUUCGAAGUAGCGGCUAGAGGGGCCCCCUGCCUCCGCCCCCGCCCUUCCGAGGAUUCCUGGAGUCCACUCACCCCUCCCCACCACUCCAGUAGCGGCGGGAGCAGCAGCGUUAGGCCGGGGUGUGGCUGCACCUCUGCGAAGGCUGUCGUGCCCCGUGCAGCUGCGGCGUUCGGGUGGGGGAGGGGAGGCUCACACCCUGCGGCGGCUUAAGCCUGGAUUUACGCACUGGAGGAGGGAAUUAGCCCUGAGAUGUCAGCCCUGUGCCCCUGGCGCUGUCCACCCGGACGCCCGCGGAGCGCCAGGCGCCGCAGCGGACCGCGCGCGCACUGAUUGCCGCAGCUACUCUCCCUGCCGUCGCCGCCCGGGACCGGGUGACAUUGAGGUUUUCGUCUAUCGCCGCUGGGCCGAUAGGGCUUCUUUUUAAGAUUUGGCUUUCCAAGUAAGAUUUUUGUUUGCCUGCUUUUCUCCUGGAAUUUUUUUGUUUUUGGUCGAAGAAGCAGGUAACUUGCAUAUCUUAAGGAAAACAUUGUUUUUGCUUUGCUUUUGUUGUUUAAAGAUCCUAAAACGUACCGUGAUUCCUUUACGUUACUAAUAAUUGGAAAGUGUGUUAAAUCAAGGGUUCGCUUAAUGUUCUUUAGCCUUUGUACAUAGAAUAUAUAAAUGUCGUGAGUCAUCUUUACGAGGUUUAUGAGUUUGUGUUCGGGUUUGGCUUUUUUGUUGUGUGUGCGUGGUUUUUUUUUUUCUUUUCUUGUAACACCGUUAGGCGUUUCAUUAAGGUGUAUAAAAAGUAAUUUUAUACACCUAUUAAAAAUUCCCGCUGCCUCGGCUGGAGACUGGAUUAUUCGGGCUUUGGGAUUUGCUGCUUCCAGCAGUAUCCUUAGAAGAAAAUGAAGCUUCUAGGUACUUCUGUAGUCAACAAAUAAUUAUUUGCCUGUUUAAUUAAAGUGUUCGGGCACGGGGGAAACAAAGACGAGUUUGCAGACUCCAGCAAAAAUCUUAAGAGUUUAAGUAUUUGGGCCGGGCGCGGUGGCUCACGCCUGUAAUCCCAGCACUUUGGGAGGCCGAGGCGGGCGGAUCACGAGGUCAGGAGUUCGAGACAAGCCUGACCAACAUGGUGAAACCCCCGUGUCUACUAAAAAUACAAAAAUUAGCCGGGCGUGGUGGCCGGUACCUGUAAUCUCAGGUACUCAGGAGGCUGAGGCAGGAGAAUCGCUUGAACCCGGGAGGUGGAGAUUGCAGGGAGUCGAGAUCAUGCCACUUGCACUCCAGCCUGGGCGACAGAGCGAGACUCCGUCUCAAAAAAAAAAAAAAAAAAAAAGUUUAGGUAUUUUCCACUGCAGUUAAACGAAUUUGUAUUAAUUGGACACUAUCCAAAAAUCUCAAAGGAAGAUUAUAAGUAAGUUUUAUUAAUCAAGUUAGUAGAAUUUACAUUACAGAAUAAUUAAAACUCAAGAAUACAGGUCAAAUUCUGAAAACGUCCUAAAAAUAUAAUCUUACCAAACUCCCGUAAUAAUCAAGUCACAUAAAGGUAAUACCAAGAAUGUUUACCGUAAAGUGGUAGUGACUCCACAUUUGUCUCCACCUGCCAGAAUAUUAGCAAAGGAUAAAGUGGAUAUGGUGCUCAAACCAUAUAUUCCGGGUUAGAUACAACUAAGAUGAUUGACUGAAGGGAAGUCUGUUUAAUCUUUUCUGGCUCAAGUGACGGUAAUUGUCAUUUAUUUUGAUCUUAAGAUAUCAUUAGACAUACCCACCUUUUGGUAAUAGUGACUUUUCCAAAAGGUUCAUUUUGAUUUCACAUGUAGCUUAGGAGCUUCUGGAAUUCUUAGAAUUUAUGUCAAAAGUUCCAGACAACCUAGGAAUGAUUUUAAAGCUAACACCUUUACAUGCUUUAUGAGGAUGUAUGAUGUCCAUAUCACUGAUAGUCCUUGAUAUUAUGGCCAAGAUCUCUACAUCCAGGAUGUGCUCCUGCAUCCACACAAUAUUCUUCUUGGAACUCACUUAACUUCUGGCAGGCGUGGUGGCUCACGCCUGUAAUCCAGCACUUUGAGAGGCCAAGUCGGGAGGAUUGCUUGCCUCAAGGAGUUGGCCAUCAGCCUGGGCAACGGAGUGAGACCUUGCCUCUACAAAAAGUCAGAAAAUUAACCUGGCAUGGUGGUUCCUGUUGUUCCAGCUACUCCUGAGGCUGAAGUGGGAGGAUCACUUGAACCUGGAAGGUGGAGGCUGCAGUGAGAAAGGCAGAGUGAGACCCUGUCUCAAAAACAAACAAAUGUUACUAUUUAUGUGAAGUCUUCCCAGGCUUCCUGAGGCAGAAUUAAUGAUCCCUUUUCACAGCCCUUUAUCUUUACCUCUGUUAUUCUUCAUUGUUUUCUACUAGACCAUGAGUUCUUAGAAAACAGUGUCUUCUAUGUAUCUCUCCCUCCCUAACACACUCUCACACACACAUAAACACAGCAGCAGUAUAUCCACACUAUGUAAUUGCCAGUUGAAUUAUUGAAUGACAAAAUAAUAAGUAUGUCCAACUUGUUAGAUUAAGGGGCUUUCAAGCAAACUAGGUGUUCUUCCAGGGACUUGAAAGUCUCCUCUCCACACCAUCUCAUUUCAUCUCUGGCAUUAAAAAAAAAAAAACUUUUGGCCAGGUGCUGUGGCUCAUGCCUAUAAUCCCAACACUU